CCAGGGAAGAGGAAGAAUGAGAGGGUUCAAGAGCAGUGGGAGUGGGAACAUGAAGGAAAGAACAAGCUCUAAAUUUCCUUCAAAGGAGAUCUUGCUUGUGUAUUGAUGCCUCCCAUUCCAAUUGUUCUUGGGUGCUCCUUCCCCAUCCUUCUUGGC
rnacentral:pre_miRNA from 1 species